UUGUGGUGUUGGUGUUCGGCACGGUGUCCACCAGACCACCACCACCGCAGCGGGGUGGUAUCGUUCUGAAACCGCACUAGGAACCAGUAGCAAGAGAUAAUCCUUCUUUCAAUUUCAAUGGAAUUGAGGGUUUUUGUUUCAGAUUCAAAAAUUUCAAUUUCAGUGGAAUUGAGGAUUUUGGUUUCAGAUCUGAUGUCGAUAAGAAAUGGAGGGAGCUUAAGGUGGAUUGAGAAUCGGAAAAUACUUGUGAUUCGGGAAGAUUUUUUAUGCAUUCAAUUUGAAAUCAAAUUUUUUUUAUGUAGGACAGGGCGAUGGGGUGUGUGUGAACUAUGUAGGACGGGGCGCAAUGUGAUGUGUGUGAUGGUAGCAGCAGCAUGAUGGUGACAUUUUUGUGAGGCGAUAAGGGUGGAGGUUGUUUCGUGGUGGUAGAUGUAGAGAUGACGACGGUGAUGGUGUUGCUGGAGUAGGCAGUUUCAAAGCCAUUGUGUAUUGAUCACAGAUGCGACGCUCGUCGCGGUGGUGGUGGUUUUACUGCUGGUGUUGUAGUGGUGGUGAUAUCGAUGGUAGUGAUGGUGGGCGGCGUUGUUGGUGGUUGUUGGCAGUGAUGCGGUGCUUUGGAGUGGUGGGAUGAGGCGUGGGUACUGUUGGUGUUGUAGUGGUGGUGAUGUCGACGGUGGUGGCGGUAGGCAACAUCUCUGGUGGUGGUUGGUGAUAGUGCAGUUCUUUGGAGUGGUGGGUUGGGGGUGUGGGUGUAUGUGAUGAUUUUAUUGGUUGACUGAAAAUUGUGACCAACAAAUUGGUUAAUUUGUGACCAAUGCGGUGGUGGUGGUGCUGUUGGAGGCAGUGUUGAAGUGGUGGUUGUAAGUGUAGGUAAUGGUCAUAGAUUAUUCGGUUGAUUAUGACGUUAAUCUGUGAGCAAUAAAUAAUAUGUGACUAAUGAAAAAGAUAAAUUGAAACUAAGAAAUAAUGUGUGAUCUAAAAAAAUUAAUAAUUUGUGACUAUCUAAUAAGUUGUGAUCUAUAAUAUUUGUGAUUUGUG
rnacentral:lncRNA from 1 species